CCCGCCCCCAGGAAUCCACGGGAAAAGCCUCCGUGUGGGUACGGAGAGAUGCCGGCCCGGCUGGAGGGACGCGGGCAGCAGUGCUCCCUCUCCUGAACAGCAUCAGCAGCGCCGGGCACGCUUAGGCCAGGACUUGCUCUGAACCGCCCCCAAAGCCCUCGGUCAGCGAGCGUAUACAACAGCGUGCUCCUGCGCGGUGAUGACCGUCCGAGGGAAGGGAAAGGGGGAAGUUUGCUCACUUCAGGCCCUUGGCUUGAAUCCUUUCUGUUUCAGUGAGGAAAGGAGACCAGGAACUCCCGGGUAGGAAGCGCCUGUGAACGCCCAGCGCAGGCGGAAGAGAAACAAAAACAUUCUCAAAUUAAAAGGCUGCUGUGAGUGCAGUGACACUCCGGGCUCAGCUGUGGUUGGAUUUCGCAGAAACCAGGGAACACUGGAGCUGUACUCCAGAACUGUGCUCUCCCUUACACCUGGAGCAGCCACAUUACUCAAAAGAGCAAACAUUUUGUGCAAGAAGUCACCUCCAGCUAUGCAUAAAACAUGCUCCUGUCCAGACUUG